UCCCUGGUGGUCCAGUGGCUAAGACUCUGAGCUCCCAAUCCAGAGGACCCAGGUUCAAUUCCUGGUCAGGAAA
rnacentral:tRNA from 1 species